UGUAAUUUCAUGGUUUCAAGAGGAUAAAAAACGGAAUAUCUAUUCCUAAAAAAUGUAUAGCGUCGUUGAAUUUAGUGAGGAUGACAGCGUCGCUAUUGUGCGCUCGUCUUGGAUUUCACCCACUAAGAAACAUAGUGCUUGGCCUCCAUUUAAAAAUUCCGAAAAGAUCAAGAAAUGUCUUACGGGCACAAUUUUAGAUGAUGACACGUGGAAUGUUUUUGGAAUUCGACGCAUUUUUUAUGUAACUGAUGACCUUCUCAGUGCUAGAAAUAUAUGUAAAGAAGCCGAACUUAAUUCCGAAGUAGAACUAGAC